rnacentral:rRNA from 1 species
GAUGAACGCUGGCGGUAUGCUUUACACAUGCAAGUCGUACGAGAGUUUUUAACUCAAGUGGCGGACGGGUGAGUAACACGUAAGAAUUUGCCUUUAGGAGGGGGACAACAACUGGAAACGGUUGCUAAUACCCCAUAUGCUUUCGAGUGAAAUGGUUUUUCCGCCUAAAGAGAAGCUUGCGGCUGAUUAGCUUGUUGGUAAGGUAAUGGCUUACCAAGGCGACGAUCAGUAUCUGGUUUGAGAGGACGAUCAGACACACUGGAACUGAGACACGGUCCAGACUCCUACGGGAGGCAGCAGUGGGGAAUUUUCCGCAAUGGGCGAAAGCCUGACGGAGCAAUACCGCGUGAGGGAUGAAUGCCUAUGGGUUGUAAACCUCUUUUUUCAGGGAGGAACAAAAUGACG